GACGAACGCUGGCGGCGUGCCUAAUACAUGCAAGUCGAACGCAGGGGGGACGGGUGAGUAACACGUGGGUAACCUCCCAUCAGAGGGGAUAACACUUGGAAACAGGUGCUAAACCGAUACUGAUGUAUUUACCCGCGGGGCAGUAGCUAGUUGGUGAGGUAACGGCUCACCAAGGCCACGAUGCAUAGACGCACUGAGAGGGUGAUCGGCCACACUGGGACUGAGACACGGCCCAGACUCCUACGGGAGGCAGCAGUAGGGAAUAUUGCACAAUGGGCGCAAGCCUGAUGCAGCCAUGCCGCGUGUGUGAAGAAGGCCUUCGGGUUGUAAAGCACUUUCAGCGAGGAGGCGUUACUCGCAGAAGAAGCACCGGCUAACUCCGUGCCAGCCGCCGCGGUAAUUC
rnacentral:rRNA from 1 species